UACGUAGGGUGCGAGCGUUAAUCGGAAUUACUGGGCGUAAAGUGUGCGCAGGCGGCACCGCAAGUCGAGUGUGAAAGCCCCGGGCUUAACUUGGGAAUUGCGCUCGAAACUAUGGUGCUGGAGUGUGGCAGAGGAAGGUGGAAUUCCAGGUGUAGCGGGUGAAAUGCGUAGAGAUCUGGAGGAACACCGAUGGCGAAGGCAGCCUUCUGGGCCAACACUGACGCUCAUGCACGAAAGCGUGGGGGAGCAAACAGG
rnacentral:rRNA from 1 species